rnacentral:rRNA from 1 species
GACGAACCGAGCGAACGUUGUUCGGAAUAACUGGGCUUAAAGGGCGCGUAGGCGGGCCGCCAAGUCCGAGGUGAAAUCCUCCGGCUCAACCGGAGAACUGCCUCGGAUACUGGAGGCCUCGAGGCGGGUAGGGGCACGCGGAACUGUGGGUGGAGCGGUGAAAUGCGUUGAUAUCCACAGGAACUCCGGUGGCGAAGGCGGCGUGCUGGACCCGAUCUGACGCUGAGGCGCGAAAGCCAGGGGAGCAAACGGG